rnacentral:rRNA from 1 species
GACGAACGCUGGCGGCGUGCUUAACACAUGCAAGUCGUACGGUAAGGCCCUUUCGGGGGUACACGAGUGGCGAACGGGUGAGUAACACGUGAGUAACCUGCCCACAACUUUGGGAUAACGCUAAGAAACUGGUGCUAAUACUGGAUAUGUGCUCCUGCUGCAUGGUGGGGGUUGGAAAGCUCCGGCGGUUGUGGAUGGACUCGCGGCCUAUCAGCUUGUUGGUGGGGUAGUGGCCUACCAAGGCGGCGACGGGUAGCCGGCCUGAGAGGGUGACCGGCCACAUUGGGACUGAGAUACGGCCCAGACUCCUACGGGAGGCAGCAGUGGGGAAUAUUGCACAAUGGGCGCAAGCCUGAUGCAGCAACGCCGCGUGCGGGAUGACGGCCUUCGGGUUGUAAACCGCUUUCAGCAGGGACGAAGCUUUUUGUGACGGUACCUGCAGAAGAAGCACCGGCUAACUACGUG